rnacentral:rRNA from 1 species
GAUGAACGCUAGCUACAGGCUUAACACAUGCAAGUCGAGGGGCAGCAUGAACAAAGCUUGCUUUGUUUGAUGGCGACCGGCGCACGGGUGCGUAACACGUAUCCAAUCUGCCCGCGGCUCGGGGAUAGCCCAACGAAAGAUGGAUUAAUACCCGAUGGCGUGGUUUCUCCGCAUGGAGUUUCCACUAAAGGUUUUCCGGCCGCGGAUGAGGAUGCGUAUGAUUAGGUAGUAGGCGGGGUAACGGCCCACCUAGCCUUCGAUCAUUAGGGGUUCUGAGAGGAAGGUCCCCCACACUGGAACUGAGACACGGUCCAGACUCCUACGGGAGGCAGCAGUGAGGAAUAUUGGUCAAUGGGCGAGAGCCUGAACCAGCCAAGGAGCGUGAAGGAAGACUGCGCUAUGGGUUGUAAACUUCUUUUGUUCGGGAAUAAAGUGCAGUAUGUAUACUGUUUUGUAUGUACCGGUCGAAUAAGCAUCGGCUAAUUCCGUGCCAGCAGCCGCGGUAACAC